ensembl:lncRNA
GGCCCCCAGGUGAUUUUAGUUUGAGGAUUUUACAAUAUUCCUCCUUCAGAUCUUCAAAACUCUUCGAUCUCUCCUCCCUUUAGCAGUCUGCUUGCGUAAGGAAACUACUUCUAAAAGCCCCAUCAAUCAUCCGUUCAUUCUUUUCCUUGUACUAUUUUUCCUGCAAGACAGCGACUUGAACCUGAGAUUUACUUUCUUGUAACUUUUCUUUUUUUGUGCCUUGUUUCUCCACAGUGACUCCAAGUCUUUGAUUGCUCUUCCCAAGAGCUACUUACAGGAAAGCUCUCCCAGCAGAGCGCUCAGGUUACUGUUUAGUAAAAAGGCGCUUUUAUUCCCAGUAAUUAGUGAGGCUAACUCAAGGCUUGGAGCAAAGCACGCAAGUCUCCUUCUCCGGCUCUCUCUUUCCAAACAUACAGAGAGGAUCUGAAACGUUAGGUCCUCAGACGCUGAGACUUGGUGAGCAUAAGAGACGUCUUUAAAAACAAACAGAGCUGCAGCUUUAUGGACCUCUUUGCUGCCUGGAACACAACUCACUAAGGAAAAUCCGGUCCUGUUCGCGCCAGAGGAACAUAAACACCCCCUGCAAACAGCACCAUUAUUAUACCACCUGCAAACAUUUACAGGAGCUGCAACCGCUCAUGGUGAAUCCAGUCCGUGAAACUAGAGCAAAAGAAACAGCAGCCGCAGGGACCCGAGAGGCCAAAUUCACCUCAGAAGUUUAAAGCAAAGUUCAUGCAAUGCAUCUCGUACAUUGCUGAAGACUUGCCUUGUUUGGUGAAUGGAUGAUUGGUACACGUGUAAGCUAGAUUAGACCUUAUAGGAGAGCCAAAUUUAGAAAGAAGGAAAAACAAGAAUAUUAAUUCAGCAGUGAGUAAGGAGAGUUUGCACAUACAGUCAUGCAGACUAAGGCAUUAAUAUGUGGUUUAGAAAUACUAAUAAACAGCCAAUAUGCUAGUAAUAUGGAUGCUAA